GACGAACGCUGGCGGCGUGCCUAAUACAUGCAAGUAGAACGCUGAAGAGAGGAGCUUGCUCUUCUUGGAUGAGUUGCGAACGGGUGAGUAACGCGUAGGUAACCUGCCUUGUAGCGGGGGAUAACUAUUGGAAACGAUAGCUAAUACCGCAUAACAAUGGAUGACACAUGUCAUUUAUUUGAAAGGGGCAAUUGCUCCACUACAAGAUGGACCUGCGUUGUAUUAGCUAGUAGGUGAGGUAAUGGCUCACCUAGGCGACGAUACAUAGCCGACCUGAGAGGGUGAUCGGCCACACUGGGACUGAGACACGGCCCAGACUCCUACGGGAGGCAGCAGUAGGGAAUCUUCGGCAAUGGGGGCAACCCUGACCGAGCAACGCCGCGUGAGUGAAGAAGGUUUUCGGAUCGUAAAGCUCUGUUGUAAGUCAAGAACGGGUGUGAGAGUGGAAAGUUCACACUGUGACGGUAGCUUACCAGAAAGGGACGGCUAACUACGUGCCAGCAGCCGCGGUAAUACGUAGGUCCCGAGCGUUGUCCGGAUUUAUUGGGCGUAAAGCGAGCGCAGGCGGUUUGAUAAGUCUGAAGUUAAAGGCUGUGGCUCAACCAUAGUUCGCUUUGGAAACUGUCAAACUUGAGUGCAGAAGGGGAGAGUGGAAUUCCAUGUGUAGCGGUGAAAUGCGUAGAUAUAUGGAGGAACACCGGUGGCGAAAGCGGCUCUCUGGUCUGUAACUGACGCUGAGGCUCGAAAGCGUGGGGAGCGAACAGGAUUAGAUACCCUGGUAGUCCACGCCGUAAACGAUGAGUGCUAGGUGUUGGAUCCUUUCCGGGAUUCAGUGCCGCAGCUAACGCAUUAAGCACUCCGCCUGGGGAGUACGACCGCAAGGUUGAAACUCAAAGGAAUUGACGGGGGCCCGCACAAGCGGUGGAGCAUGUGGUUUAAUUCGAAGCAACGCGAAGAACCUUACCAGGUCUUGACAUCCCGAUGCUAUUUCUAGAGAUAGAAAGUUACUUCGGUACAUCGGUGACAGGUGGUGCAUGGUUGUCGUCAGCUCGUGUCGUGGGAUGUUGGGUUAAGUCCCGCAACGAGCGCAACCCCUAUUGUUAGUUGCCAUCAUUCAGUUGGGCACUCUAGCGAGACUGCCGGUAAUAAACCGGAGGAAGGUGGGGAUGACGUCAAAUCAUCAUGCCCCUUAUGACCUGGGCUACACACGUGCUACAAUGGUUGGUACAACGAGUUGCGAGUCGGUGACGGCGAGCUAAUCUCUUAAAGCCAAUCUCAGUUCGGAUUGUAGGCUGCAACUCGCCUACAUGAAGUCGGAAUCGCUAGUAAUCGCGGAUCAGCACGCCGCGGUGAAUACGUUCCCGGGCCU
rnacentral:rRNA from 1 species